rnacentral:rRNA from 1 species
GUUGACCUCGGAUCAGGUAGGGAUACCCGCUGAACUUAAGCAUAUCAAUAAGCGGAGGAAAAGAAACCAACAGGGAUUGCUCUAGUAACGGCGAGUGAAGCAGCAAUAGCUCAAAUUUGAAAUCUGGCGUCUUCGGCGUCCGAGUUGUAAUUUGUAGAGGAUGCUUCUGAGUAACCACCGACCUAAGUUCCUUGGAACAGGACGUCAUAGAGGGUG